rnacentral:rRNA from 1 species
GAUGAACGCUGGCGGCGUGCCUAAUACAUGCAAGUCGAGCGAACAGACGAGGAGCUUGCUCCUCUGACGUUAGCGGCGGACGGGUGAGUAACACGUGGAUAACCUACCUAUAAGACUGGGAUAACUUCGGGAAACCGGAGCUAAUACCGGAUAAUAUAUUGAACCGCAUGGUUCAAUAGUGAAAGACGGUUUUGCUGUCACUUAUAGAUGGAUCCGCGCCGCAUUAGCUAGUUGGUAAGGUAACGGCUUACCAAGGCAACGAGGCGUAGCCGACCUGAGAGGGUGAUCGGCCAGACUGUAUCUGAGACACGGUCCAGACUCCUGCGGGAGGCAGCAGUAGGGAAUCUUCCGCAAUGGGCGAAUGCCUGACGGAGCAACGCCGCGUGAGUGAUGAAGGUCUUCGGAUCGUAAAACUCUGUUAUUAGGGAAGAACAAAUGUGUAAGUAACUAUGCACGUCUUGACGGUACCUAAUCAGAAAGCCACGGCUAACUACGUG